rnacentral:lncRNA from 1 species
AUCGUAGAUCCUCGUUGCAGCCUCUAGCUGCGGCGGGAUCGUCGUCUUCUCACUGGCUUCUCUCAGAUUUACGCUACAGUCCCAAAGGAUAUGAGCCGUGGUAGCUCUCUCCUUCGCACACAGUCUACACACGUCACUCGUGUACACACUCGGACACACGUGGUUAGCUAGCACCGGGAUGAGCCAUUGUGUGAGCCCU